rnacentral:misc_RNA from 1 species
GGCAGAGAAAUAGUAAUCCCAUGUAAUCCUGUAGGGUGUGGCAAAAACAUAUAGAUCCAUACAGGUCCAGCUGUGUGCUGCAGAUGUCUUGAGACGGAGAACGCCACCUCCCAAGCCUCUAUCGCCUUCAGUAAGAUUAAUCUGAGCUUCGUUAGUGAAGAAGCAAGCUCCUUUCCACUCAAUCGUUCCAUUACUGGGAGUCACUGACCCAACAUAAGACGGCAACAAAUCCACGGCAGUGUGGAGAUUGUUAAGCACCGGCCACGAUAUCUGUCGUGGGAGAACCGGAAGUACAUCGUUAGCCCUGAAGGGCAACUUCAGAGCCAGACCCAAAUUCGCACCGA